UUAAACUGUACUAAGACUUUUG
rnacentral:miRNA from 1 species